rnacentral:precursor_RNA from 8 species
UUCAUGAGCCCUCGCGGUCAUAUCACAAGAACCUAUAUUUGGGACAGCUCUCAUGGAACUCUUGAUAUCAUAGAAAGAUGUUCUUAAUGUAGGUUUCUUGUGCUGACCUUUAUCAACGAACUGACCC